rnacentral:rRNA from 1 species
UACAUGGGGUGCAAACGUUGCUCGGAAUCACUGGGCUUAAAGGGCGCGUAGGCGGGCCGCCGCGUCCGGGGUGAAAUCCUCCCGCUCAACGGGAGAACGGCCUCGGAUACGGGCGGCCUGGAGGGGGGUAGGGGCGUGCGGAACUGUGGGUGGAGCGGUGAAAUGCGUUGAUAUCCACAGGAACUCCGGUGGCGAAGGCGGCACGCUGGACCCCACCUGACGCUGAGGCGCGAAAGCCAGGGGAGCGAACGGG